GACGAACGCUGGCGGCGUGCUUAACACAUGCAAGUCGAACGGUAAGGCCCUUCGGGGUACACGAGUGGCGAACGGGUGAGUAACACGUGGGUGAUCUGCCCUGCACUUCGGGAUAAGCCUGGGAAACUGGGUCUAAUACCGGAUAGGACCACUGCCUGCAUGGGUGGUGGUGGAAAGCUUUUGCGGUGUGGGAUGGGCCCGCGGCCUAUCAGCUUGUUGGUGGGGUGAUGGCCUACCACGGCGACGACGGGUAGCCGGCCUGAGAGGGUGACCGGCCACACUGGGACUGAGAUACGGCCCAGACUCCUACGGGAGGCAGCAGUGGGGAAUAUUGCACAAUGGGCGCAAGCCUGAUGCAGCGACGCCGCGUGAGGGAUGACGGCCUUUGGGUUGUAAACCUCUUUCAGCACCGACGAAGCGCAAGUGACGGUAGGUGCAGAAGAAGGACCGGCCAACUACGUGCCAGCCGCCGCAGUAA
rnacentral:rRNA from 1 species